rnacentral:rRNA from 1 species
GUUUGACCUCGGAUCAGGUAGGAAUACCCGCUGAACUUAAGCAUAUCAAUAAGCGGAGGAAA